CAGUUUCAAUGAUUAGGGUAAUUUGUUUUUUGUCAAGGUUGUCUUUCAAACAGAAAUCGUGUGCAAUAUCCAAGGUAAUUUUAAAUACUCAUGCAAGUAUGAUGCAUUUGUUUUUGUAGGUAAAGUUCAUCUCUGACGAUUAUACUGAAGAGAUGUACAUAAAGCAGAAGAUGCAGUGAGUUCAUUGAUGGUUUCUGUGCUUGGCCACGUUACAGUGCCGUCAUCCAGCCUUCAAGCAUGGUUCAGAAGCCAUGAACCACAAAUCAGCAUGUUUCCUUCCAGUUUCCAAUGAGCACUCUGACAGCAUCACUUAGCAUGCCAGUAUUCAACAU
rnacentral:lncRNA from 1 species